UCCAUUACUUUUGUUGAUGAUACAGUAAUGUCAUGCAAGAGUUCUUUACUGUGUUUUAUUUCAGUAUCUGGUGGAGAAGAUACUAAACAUUCCUGGUGGGAAGAGGUUUCAAUAAAAUGUCAAAAUGUUUGGCUUAUCUGUCAUGAAUGAUUAAAUAUUUUGUCAAGGUAAUCAGUUGCAUUAUCAGUUAUGUACAGUUAGGCAAAGUUCAUUUGGUUUGUGUGAUACGUAUGAUAUGUCAACACAUGUCUCCUCUGCAGCUACAAGUUGGGAGUUAAAUCACCAACACUGCCCAAUUAAUGUGUUACGGGUGUGCACUGAUAAGUAGGAUACAAAAACCCUAGUCAAGAUUAAUGUUAGCGUUAGAAGUCAGUGUUUGAGGAAGCGAUCCACUGUAGUUGGUGAGUAUAGAGUCUUUGUAGCUGUUUGUAGUUACCAGUUAGUGCGAGGAAGAAUUAAGUAAGUACAGUCGUUGUAGUUACAUCUUUGUACUUAAAAGUUAGUGUAUGAGGAAGAGUUAACAAGUACAGUCUUUGUAGAUACUUAGUUGUAGUUGGAAGUUAGUGUGUGUGAGAGUGAAGGUUUACUGUAACUAGUAAGUUACAGUGGGAGGGAAAGGAGACAUACCAACUGUCAAAAAUCUGGAGAGAG